rnacentral:rRNA from 2 species
UACGUAGGUGGCAAGCGUUGUCCGGAAUUAUUGGGCGUAAAGCGCGCGCAGGCGGUCCUUUAAGUCUGAUGUGAAAGCCCACGGCUCAACCGUGGAGGGUCAUUGGAAACUGGGGGACUUGAGUGCAGAAGAGGAAAGUGGAAUUCCACGUGUAGCGGUGAAAUGCGUAGAGAUGUGGAGGAACACCAGUGGCGAAGGCGACUUUCUGGUCUGUAACUGACGCUGAGGCGCGAAAGCGUGGGGAGCAAAC